UGGGGAAUAUUGGACAAUGGGCGCAAGCCUGAUCCAGCAAUGCCGCGUGUGUGAAGAAGGCCUUCGGGUUGUAAAGCACUUUUAUCAGGAGCGAAAUCGGCAAGGUUAAUAACCGUGUCGUCUGACGGUACCUGAGGAAUAAGCACCGGCUAACUUCGUGCCAGCAGCCGCGGUAAUACGAAGGGUGCAAGCGUUAAUCGGAAUUACUGGGCGUAAAGGGUGCGUAGGCGGUUUGUUAAGUCUGUUGUGAAAUCCCCGGGCUCAACCUGGGAAUGGCAAUGGAUACUGGCAGGCUAGAGUGUGUCAGAGGAUGGUGGAAUUCCCGGUGUAGCGGUGAAAUGCGUAGAGAUCGGGAGGAACAUCAGUGGCGAAGGCGGCCAUCUGGGACAACACUGACGCUGAAGCACGAAAGCGUGGGGAGCAAACA
rnacentral:rRNA from 1 species